rnacentral:rRNA from 1 species
GAGUUUGAUCCUGGCUCAGGAUGAACGCUAGCGGCAGGCUUAACACAUGCAAGUCGAGGGGUAGAGGAAGCUUGCUUCCUUGAGACCGGCGCACGGGUGCGUAACGCGUAUGCAAUCUACCUUGUACAGGGGGAUAGCCCAGAGAAAUUUGGAUUAAUACCCCAUAGUGUAAUUGAAUGGCAUCAUUUAAUUACUAAAGUUCCAACGGUACAAGAUGAGCAUGCGUCCUAUUAGCUAGUUGGUGUGGUAACGGCAUACCAAGGCUACGAUAGGUAGGGGUCCUGAGAGGGAGAUCCCCCCACACUGGUACUGAGACACGGACCAGACUCCUACGGGAGGCAGCAGUGAGGAAUAUUGGACAAUGGGCGCAAGCCUGAUCCAGCCAUGCCGCGUGCAGGAAGACGGUCCUAUGGAUUGUAAACUGCUUUUUAUACGGGAAGAACACUCCUACGUGUAGGAACUUGACGGUACCGUAAGAUAAGG